rnacentral:rRNA from 1 species
GAUGAACGCUGGCGGCGUGCUUAACACAUGCAAGUCGAACGGUGAAAGAGAGCUUGCUCUCUGGAUCAGUGGCGAACGGGUGAGUAACACGUGAGCAAUCUGCCCCUGACUCUGGGAUAAGCGCUGGAAACGGCGUCUAAUACCGGAUACGAGCUGCGAAGGCAUUUUCAGCAGCUGGAAAGAAUUUCGGUCAGGGAUGAGCUCGCGGCCUAUCAGCUAGUUGGUGAGGUAACGGCUCACCAAGGCGUCGACGGGUAGCCGGCCUGAGAGGGUGACCGGCCACACUGGGACUGAGACACGGCCCAGACUCCUACGGGAGGCAGCAGUGGGGAAUAUUGCACAAUGGGCGAAAGCCUGAUGCAGCAACGCCGCGUGAGGGACGACGGCCUUCGGGUUGUAAACCUCUUUUAGCAGGGAAGAAGCGAAAGUGACGGUACCUGCAGAAAAAGCACCGGCUAACUACGUGCCAGCAGCCGCCGUAACAC